GCGCGCGUCCCUGUCAGCGCCGCACUCGCUGCAGCCUCGCUCCCGACCCGGUGUUAGCUGUAAGGCGCGUCCUCAUUGGCCGUUCAGAGACGGGCGCUGGUUGGUCGACACCGAACGAGCGUCUCCUGCCCUCGUGGGCCCCGCCCUUGCGCGCUUCCGAGAGCUUGCUGGCAGCCGGGGGCGCGGAGUCGGGUAUCAUAAUCUCAGAGGCCGGGAGAGGCUCGCCCCACCGCGGCGCAAUGUUUCUCGGAAAGCUGGGUUUCAGAAGUGCCGGCUGCCAAGUGCACCUCCGUCUUCCGCUUCCUUACAGUCCCCAGACCCCUGGACGUGAGCCUUCUUCCCAGCUUACAGAGGCGGAAAAAUGAGGCCAGGCACAAGUCACGCUAAUACCUAGCGAAAGCCCUCUUUCCAACCCUCUUCAAAAGUGGUUCUUUCGUCGUCCUUCCCACCCCGCUCCCCACCGUCCCUAAUUGCUUCAAAGCAAAGGACGAAGGAUCUCACUGAAGGGAGAGAGGAACCUGCCAAGUACCUAGAUCGUGCCUGGCUCCGUGGGUGCCGUCUUACAUCAAGCCAAUCCACGCCAUUUCCACCAAGCCCCAGGGAAAUCUCCCCGUUUUUCGAGAUGCUCAUACUGGUCCUGGUCCGCCAUGGAGGUGGCAAGUAGAACGUUUUGGGGUGUGGUCACCAGCGGGUUCCUCUGGACAUUCGGUGGUCUGCGCCGUGCGUGUGGCUGGAAGCAGAUGACACAGCAGGGCACAAGAAGAGUUAUGGGGGAUCCUUCAACCUAGACCGGAGUCCUGCGGUGCCCCGGGUGGGUUGCGGCAGGCCUCUCCUCCAAGCUGGCCAACCCCGAGAUCCCCUCACACACAACCGACUGGUAGAGUCCCACGUUUGGAGCGCCCCAGGGAAAGCCUGUGGCCAGCCUCGACUCUUCAAGGAAGGGGAGGGUACCAUAAGAACGUAUUGCCCCCGGAGAAGGAGCCCACAUCAGUUGCUGUUUCCAGCUUGAUGCCUUUCCAUCCCUAGGCCCAGCUGUUGGAGCACCAACAGUGGACUCAGUGCACCUCCCCACUCCCAUUUAUUUGUGGAGUAAAUUAGUAUGUGCUAA